rnacentral:rRNA from 1 species
GAUGAACGCUGGCGGCGUGCCUAAUACAUGCAAGUCGAGCGAACAGACGAGGAGCUUGCUCCUUUGACGUUAGCGGCGGACGGGUGAGUAACACGUAGGUAACCCACCUAUAAGACUGGGAUAACUUCGGGAAACCGGAGCUAAUACCGGAUAAUAUUUCGAACCGCAUGGUUCGAUAGUGAAAGAUGGCUUUGCUAUCACUUAUAGAUGGACCUGCGCCGUAUUAGCUAGUUGGUAGGGUAACGGCUUACCAAGGCAACGAUACGUAGCCGACCUGAGAGGGUGAUCGGCCACACUGGAACUGAGACACGGUCCAGACUCCUACGGGAGGCAGCAGUAGGGAAUCUUCCGCAAUGGGCGAAAGCCUGACGGAGCAACGCCGCGUGAGUGAUGAAGGUCUUCGGAUCGUAAAACUCUGUUAUUAGGGAAGAACAAACGUGUAAGUAACUGUGCACGUCUUGACGGUACCUAAUCAGAAAGCCACGGCUAACUACGUG